rnacentral:rRNA from 1 species
UACGUAGGUGGCAAGCGUUGUCCGGAUUUACUGGGCGUAAAGAGCGCGCAGGCGGUCAGAUAAGUCGAAUGUGAAAGCCCCCCGGCUCAACUGGGGAGGGUCAUUCGAUACUGUUCGACUCGAAGGCAGGAGAGGGAAGUGGAAUUCCCGGUGUAGUGGUGAAAUGCGUAGAUAUCGGGAGGAACACCAGUGGCGAAGGCGACUUCCUGGCCUGUUCUUGACGCUGAGGCGCGAAAGCUAGGGGAGCAAACGGGG